rnacentral:rRNA from 1 species
UACGUAGGGUGCGAGCGUUAAUCGGAAUUACUGGGCGUAAAGCGUGCGCAGGCGGUUUUGCAAGCCGGAUGUGAAAUCCCCGGGCUCAACCUGGGAAUGGCAUUCGGGACUGCAAGGCUGGAGUGCGGCAGAGGAGACUGGAAUUCCUGGUGUAGCAGUGAAAUGCGUAGAUAUCAGGAGGAACACCGAUGGCGAAGGCAGGUCUCUGGGCUGACACUGACGCUCAUGCACGAAAGCGUGGGAGCAAACAGG